GCUGAUAUGGCUCAGUUGGUAGAGCGCACCCUUGGUAAGGGUGAGGUCCCCAGUUCGACUGUUUUGGCG
rnacentral:tRNA from 1 species